AUUGAACGCUGGCGGCAGGCUUAACACAUGCAAGUCGAACGAGUGGCGGACGGGUGAGUAAUGUCUGGGACACUGCCUGAUGGAGGGGGAUAACUACUGGAAACGGUAGCUAAUACCGCAUACCAUCGGAUGUGCCCCGAUGGGAUUAGCUAGUAGGUGGGGUAAUGGCUCACCUAGGCGACGAUCCCUAGCUGGGCUGAGAGGAUGACCAGGCACACGGGAACGGAGACACGGUCCAGACGCCUACGGGAGGAAGCAGUGGGGAAUAUUGGACAAUGGGCGCAAGCCUGAUGCAGCCAUGCCGGGUGGGUGAAGAAGGCCGUCGGGGUGUAAAGGACGUUCAGCGGGGAGGCGUUACGCGCAGAAGAAGCACCGGCUAACUACGUGCCAGCAGCCGCGGUAAUAC
rnacentral:rRNA from 1 species